CAACGGCAGCUAAAGAUGGAAAUCAUGAGCAAGAAGACAGAGCUGAAGAAGAUGCUCAGACUGCAGCACAGGAGAGCAGUGAGGUGGAAAAUAUAAGAAGGAGAUAACAAGGAAGACUGAAGAAGAUCUAACUUGUGUCUAAUCAGAGCUCCUAAUGGAGAUAAUAGAGCACACAGAGAAAAUGUUUGCUCUGAUAAUGUUCUGGAGGCUAAGUCCAAGAUCCAGGCACCAGCAGAUCUGGCAUCCGGUGAGGGCCUGCUUCCUGGUUUGCAGCUGACCAUCUUCACAUUGUAUCCUCCCUGGCUGAGAGCAGAGAGGAAGCCAAAACAUGUUUGGAUGUAACCCAAAACGUCAGGACUUCAGGUGCCUCCUGACCCUGACCACGGCUGGCACCUUUUCUUCCUCCUGCGUCGUGUCCUGCGCUCUGUGUUGAAACUGGGUUCCCAUUAAUUAUUAAUUUUUCUCCAGAGAAUACUUGUUAAAGAAGAAUUAAUGCUAUUGUUUUAGAGCAAAUGCUGCCCAAAUACUGUCUUUAGUAGAAUUGUAAUCAGCUUUACCCACUUUCCAUCUAAUCUGAUUGAAUCAGAUUUUCUACAAAAUCUUUUUUUUAUUUUGUUGCUAUUAAAAGGUCACCUAUUUGAUCUGCCUCAAACU
rnacentral:lncRNA from 1 species